GACGUAGGGCGCGAGCGUUGUCCGGAUUUAUUGGGCGUAAAGAGCUCGUAGGCGGCUUGUCGCGUCGACUGUGAAAACCCGCGGCUCAACUGCCGGGCCUGCAGCCGAUACGGGCAGGCUAGAGUUCGGUAGGGGAGACUGGAAUUCCUGGUGUAGGCGGUGAAAUGCGCAGAUAUCAGGAGGAACACCAAUAGCGAAGGCAGCUCGCUGGGACGGUACUGACGCUAAGGCGCGAAAGCGUGGGGAGCGAACGAGG
rnacentral:rRNA from 1 species